rnacentral:rRNA from 1 species
AGAGUUUGAUCCUGGCUCAGAUUGAACGCUGGCGGCAGGCCUAACACAUGCAAGUCGAGCGGCAGCACGGGAAGCUUGCUUCCUGGUGGCGAGCGGCGGACGGGUGAGUAAUGCAUAGAAAUCUGCCCGGUAGUGGGGGAUAACCUGGGGAAACCCAGGCUAAUACCGCAUACGUCCUACGGGAGAAAGCAGGGGAUCUUCGGACCUUGCGCUAUCGGAUGAGUCUAUGUCGGAUUAGCUUGUUGGUGAGGUAAUGGCUCACCAAGGCGACGAUCCGUAGCUGGUCUGAGAGGAUGAUCAGCCACAUCGGGACUGAGACACGGCCCGAACUCCUACGGGAGGCAGCAGUGGGGAAUAUUGGACAAUGGGCGAAAGCCUGAUCCAGCCAUGCCGCGUGUGUGAAGAAGGCCUUCGGGUUGUAAAGCACUUUCAGUGGGGAAGAAAGCUUUGGGGCUAAUACCCUCGAGGAAGGACAUCACCCACAGAAGAAGCACCGGCUAACUCCGUGCCAGCAGCCGCGGUAAUACGGAGGGUGCGAGCGUUAAUCGGAAUUACUGGGCGUAAAGCGCGCGUAGGCGGUCUGAUAAGCCGGUUGUGAAAGCCCCGGGCUCAACCUGGGAACGGCAUCCGGAACUGUCAGGCUAGUGUGCAGGAGAGGAAGGUAGAAUUCCCGGUGUAGCGGUGAAAUGCGUAGAGAUCGGGAGGAAUACCAGUGGCGAAGGCGGCCUUCUGGACUGACACUGACGCUGAGGUGCGAAAGCGUGGGUAGCAAACAGGUUUAGAUACCCUGGUAGUCCACGCCGUAAACGAUGUCGACUAGCCGUUGGGCUCCUUGAGAGCUUUGUGGCGCAGUUAACGCGAUAAGUCGACCGCCUGGGGAGUACGGCCGCAAGGUUAAAACUCAAAUGAAUUGACGGGGGCCCGCACAAGCGGUGGAGCAUGUGGUUUAAUUCGAUGCAACGCGAAGAACCUUACCUACCCUUGACAUCGUGCGAACUUUCCAGAGAUGGAUUGGUGC